CGUUGUUUGUAAUUUAAUGAAGUCGGACCUGCCCGGUGGAUUAAUUUCUAAACGGCUAUUAAAUGUACUAAGGUAGCACAAUAGAUCAUCCUUUAAUUGAGGAAGGGAAUGAAUGGUUUGUCACAGAUUAGCUGUCUUUAAAUUAUAUAGUGAAGUUUCCUUUUAAGUGAAAAGGCUUAAAUUUUUGUGAAAGAAGAGAAGACCCUAUCGAGCUUAAUUAGAUAUUAAUUAGUUAAUUAAUUUUUGAAUUUUUAUUGGGGCAAUAGAGGGCUAUAAUUAACGCCUUUUUUUAUUAAUAAAGAUCCUAUUUGAUAGAUAAAAAGCAAAAGCUACCGUAGGGAUAACAGCGUAAUUUUUUUUUUGAGACCGUAUUGGAAAAAAAGUUUGCGACAUCGAUGUUGAAUUAAGAGUUUCUUAUGGUGCAGCCGCUAUAAGAGUAAGACUGUUCGUCUUGUAUUUUCUUACAUGAUCUGAGUUCAGACCGGA
rnacentral:rRNA from 1 species